AGCAGCCGCGGUAAAACGAAGGGUGCAAGCGUUAAUCGGAAUUACUGGGCGUAAAGCGUGCGUAGGCGGUGAGUUAAGUCUGCUGUGAAAUCCCCGGGCUCAACCUGGGAAUGGCAGUGGAUACUGGCUCGCUAGAGUGUGUCAGAGGAUGGUGGAAUUCCCGGUGUAGCGGUGAAAUGCGUAGAGAUCGGGAGGAACAUCAGUGGCGAAGGCGGCCAUCUGGGACAACACUGACGCUGAGGCACGAAAGCGUGGGGAGCAAACAGGAUUAGAUACCCCAGUAGUCCCUGUCUCUUAUACA
rnacentral:rRNA from 1 species